GCGAGGGGAGUGAAAAAGAACCUGAAACCGUGUACGUACAAGCAGUGGGAGCCCCACCACCAAAGCAUUCUCUGGUGUUGAAGGCCCUGCAAAGCAGCAUCGCGGUGGCGGAGCGUCGUUUGCGACGCCCAACACACAAAACAAGCGGUGAGUGCUUUGGGGUGGGGUGACUGCGUACCUUUUGUAUAAUGGGUCAGCGACUUAUAUUCUGUAGCAAGGUUAACCGAAUAGGGGAGCCG
rnacentral:rRNA from 1 species